UAGGAGUAAAACAUACUCUGCUCAUGAGGAAAGCAGCUAGCAUCUGGAAGGAAAUGUUUGUAUUGAUACAGUCCUCAUUUCCAAGGAGAGACUUCUUUUGUGAGAACUUUGAGGCCUCGAUCAAAGGCAGAGGCUUAUUUUUGAAGAAGAAAACAAAACCUUUUCCAGCUGUUUUUCUGAAAGUAUAAACUGUUCCAACGCAAAGAUGUCUUCAAGAACUACUAAUACAGGUUUGGUAAAAACACUUCAAGUCCAGGACAGAUGAGGUGAGAGAUUUGAGUACAACUUUUGAAAUAUGCUGGAAAAACAC